GCAGGCGACCAUGGCGGCGGCGGGGGCUGACAGCGGUACAUGGACUGUAGAUGCCGCCAGUCUGUUCAAACUGAGUCCGUCGUCCUCCCGGAUCCCAGCAUCCCCUAGCAGAAGGAGGCGCAUCCCCUGAAUGCUGUAUGGUCAUGUGCGCGCUGCACACCAUGCUGCUGCUAGACUCGAGGAGGGGGAGGAGCCAGAGGGAAGCACAGAGAGAGACUGCCCAGCGCUGUGUACGGCAUUGAAGAAGCUGAUCCGGACGCAUCACAAGUUGCUUAGUUACCGUCCUGCGACGCGCCGCCGGAUGACGUCACGGGCCGGCAGCAUGAGACCCUGAAUACAGCCCCAAGCAGCGGACGAGUGGGCAUUGGAGUUGUCAUGGUGACGGACUUCAGCCUCAGCUUGAUGACGUCACGGACGGGCGACAUGGGAGCGCUGCCGAGUGUCUGGAUGGUCAGGAUGGCGCCGCUGAGAAGACAACCUGCUGACCUCUCCAGUGACUCAACAGGAGGGCCUGAGGGAUGAAUGCCAACAAGUCUCUCAGGCACCCUCCACUGCCACCAUGGAAGAAAACAUUUCAGUUAUCAGGGAGGCAGUGAAAGGCACCAACAGUUUCUCAGAUUGCCUAAUGGAGUUCUUGGAUAGGGAUUCUGAAGCCAGAAUGCGGGAGACCUCUCUCCUAAACCAAAGACUGGUGGUGCUUAUUGACAUUCUAGCAAACAGACCCUCCACCACUGACCAACCAUCCUCAUGCCCUGGCCCACUUGAUCCCACCUCUUGCAAGGACACAUGAAGAUGGCCCACAAGCCUGCUUACUCCCUCUACGACCUCAGCCUAUUAUGAAGUAUGGGUGCCCCAUGAACUUUUGCCACAUCUUGACCUUUUCUGUACUCCUGACCAUGAAUCUUCCCAUUGCCUCUUUAUUCAGGAUGGCAUUCUUUCUCAUUUUGAUGUGUGGUACUUGUCUAUCCACUAUAUCAUCUUCUGUUGUAUCAUGACAGGUGUUUUCUGACUGUUGUCACAUUGGAGUGUGUGCUUGAGAUUGUUUUAUCUGCAGCAGAAGCAACUGCAACUGUAACCUUCAUUUUCUCUAGACUUGUAAGCAACACACUUUGAUUUACCAUCAACUCAUCCAGAAAGUCUAUGUCUUGUGAAAAUGAAAAAAAUAAUAAUAAAUAAUAA